AUUGAACGCUGGCGGCAUGCCUUACACAUGCAAGUCGAACGGUAACGGGCCUUCGGGUGCCGACGAGUGGCGAACGGGUGAGUAAUGCAUCGGAACGUACCUUUCAGUGGGGGAUAACGUAGCGAAAGUUACGCUAAUACCGCAUAUUCUGUGAGCAGGAAAGCAGGGGAACGCACGACCUUGCGCUGAUUGAGCGGCCGAUGUCAGAUUAGCUAGUUGGUGAGGUAAAGGCUCACCAAGGCGACGAUCUGUAGUGGGUCUGAGAGGAUGAUCCGCCACACUGGGACUGAGACACGGCCCAGACUCCUACGGGAGGCAGCAGUGGGGAAUUUUGGACAAUGGGGGCAACCCUGAUCCAGCCAUGCCGCGUGAGUGAAGAAGGCCUUCGGGUUGUAAAGCUCUUUCGGCCGGGAAGAAAUCGCACAGGCUAAUACCUUGUGUGGAUGACGGUACCGGAAUAAGAAGCACCGGCUAACUACGUGCCAGCCGCCGCCGUAAGAC
rnacentral:rRNA from 1 species